rnacentral:lncRNA from 1 species
CAGACAGGUGUAAGUUGAUGGAAAUAAUGACUUACAGUGGCAAAGAGUGUUAUGGAUAAUAGUACUGGUUUCUUUGGAAUAAGCACAAAGUCAAUGAAAGUGCAAGUUACAUUUUUAUCUUAUUUCUUUUUUGUUUUCCAUAAUAGGCUUGACUAAAUGGAAUUCACAGUAAUGUUUUCCUCAUGGGCAGUGACUAAAUGUUUAUACCAAUGAGGAAAAUGACUUUCUUUUGUUUUCAUUAUGUUCAUCAACAACAGAUUUCCAUCCUGUUAGAAUAUGCAGGCAUUAUGGAGGGGAACCAAGAAGACGUCAUGUCGCAAGGUGAAUGAACCACAAGGCAAAGGCAUCACGGGAAGAGGAUUUUGGCUGGCGGAGUGAGCGCAGGAAUGGCGUCGGACAGACAGUGUGACCCAGGGCUCAGGUGGCAGCUGUGCUACGACUUCUCUGCCAGGUCAUGGUGGAUGGUAGGGAUACUCCCUGUCUAUCUCUAUCGCUUUCUCCAUCACUCCCGCUUUCUUCUCUCUCCAUUGACCAUCUCUUCAUUAAGUUGAAAAAAAUGUAUUUAACUAAAAUGACAUUUGAGUGGAGGUUGUUGCUCAGGUAUAGGGCAUAGGAAAUGUUUUGUUACUGUGGGUAUCUACUUUUAAAAUGGCAAGUUGAUUGUCAGGAAUCAAUUGAUUGAAUGUUUGAAGUGAUUUCUGGUGAGAGGAUGU